rnacentral:lncRNA from 1 species
GCCAGCAUAGACAUGUCGGAGAGCCUGUGAUACCGCCGCCUCUGGACCUGGGUGACUGCGGCCACUGGGCGGGCUGGAGACUCCAGGAGAAUCAGGACGUGCGUAACUCCCUCGCCGGCGGACUGCAGCGGACGGGGCGCGUGCUGGUGACGGAUUACCUGUAGGGUCUCCAUCAGGAAGCCCUAGGUGCCGGCAAGAAGGGUAGUGGAAAGACGUGACCUGCCCUCAAGCAGCUCAGCCUCACGGGGAAAAGAAAUGUGUAAAGAGCUGAACUUAGGGUCAUGGAUGUUGUAUGGACAAGGAGUUUGAAAAACUUGGCUGGAGGGGAGGACUUUGCAUUGUUGCCUUUAUUAUAUCCAUUUCUGUAUUCGUACCAGCACCUCGCAAAAUAAUGGUCUCAGCAGACUCCCUUGGGCAAUACUUCACAGACAUGACUGUGCACGCCAGUCACCCAGAGAUCAUGUUAAAAUGCACAUCUGGUUCAGCAGGCCUAGGGCAGUUUCUUUACUCCAUCAUGGCCGGAAGCAGAAAUUGCUAAUACUCUGACUAUUUCAAAUAACCUACAAUUUGUAUACUAGCUGUUCUGUAUGUUAUAGAAGUUCAAAGAAGACAAACUCUAGCCAAGAGCAGUGUGAAGAAAAGAAGACGCUAUAUUAAUCACAGUCCAGGGAUGCCUUCUGGCUUCCUGGCAGCAAUUCCGGCCUGAGAUUCCUUCUCUGUGCAUACUUCCUGUCAACAUUGUGUGAUGUCAAGCUGUGGCCGUCACAAAAGUACUGUGAACACCUGUAAAUCCCAACUAUCAAAAAUCACACCCAGGAAUCCAAAUUAGCAUUAUUAUGUCAAAAGAAAAACCUGAUUUCUUCAC